rnacentral:rRNA from 1 species
UACGGAGGGUGCAAGCGUUAUCCGGAUUCACUGGGUUUAAAGGGUGCGUAGGUGGGCAAGUAAGUCAGUGGUGAAAUCUCCGGGCUUAACCCGGAAACUGCCAUUGAUACUAUUUGUCUUGAAUACUGUGGAGGUCAGCGGAAUAUGUCAUGUAGCGGUGAAAUGCUUAGAUAUGACAUAGACCACCAAUUGCGAAGGCAGCGGGCUACACAAAUAUUGCCCCUGAGGCCCGAAAGCGUGGGAUCAAACAGG